rnacentral:tRNA from 1 species
CUGGUGGUCGUCUAGUGAGGUACAGACGCCGGCUGCGCGCCGGAAAUAUGGGUUCGAAUCCCAUCCACUGCA